GACAUGGGCACCCGCCCACGCGCGAGAUGUCACAGUACAGGAAGCAGGGUUCAGGUGGAAGUCACCUACUAUAAUUUAAGAAUCCACGUUUUCAUCUAAGCUAGCCGCUGACAAAGAUAGUUGUUUGAAGUUAUUAAUGGUUCCCAGUGGAGAAGCUCAAGGCUGAAUUUUUUCAACUCAGAACCGGCUUUUCUUCUACUCAAUACAGAGGAAACUGCCAUGAGCCACAGAGCCAAACCAGCCUGGACCAAGUGGUUCCCUCUUUUCAAGUCCACUGCUGCUGGAGCCCGUUUCACAUGGCACACAAGUGUGAAAUUGGCCGUUGGCUGGGUGCUGGGAAACAAUUGGAAAGCCCUGCUGGCGGCCGGUGAGCUCGACUACGACUGAGAAACUGACUGAGAGAG